GAUGAACGCUGGCGGCGUGCCUAAUACAUGCAAGUUGUGCGGUAACAGAGAGAGCUUGCUCUCUGCUGACGAGCGGCGGACGGCAGAGUAACGCGUAGGAACAUACCCCAAACUGAGGGAUAACUGCUCGAAAGAGUAGCUAAUACCGCAUGUGGUCUUCGGAUUAAAAGCUUCGGCGGUUUGGGAGUGGCCUGCGUCCGAUUAGCUAGUUGGUGAGGUAAUUGCUCACCAAGGCGACGAUCGGUAGCUGGUCUGAGAGGAUGAUCAGCCUGACUGGAACUGAGAACGGUCCAGACUCCUACGGAGGCAGCAGUAGGGAAUUUUCCACAAUGGGCGAAAGCCUGAUGGAGCAACGCCGCGUGCAGGAUGAAUGCCUUCGGUUGGUAAACUGCUUUCUGUGUGAAGAAUAUGACGGUAACACAGGAAU
rnacentral:rRNA from 1 species